ACGCACGCUGGCGGCGUGCUUAACACAUGCAAGUCGAACGGAAAGGCCCUGCUUUUGUGGGGUGCUCGAGUGGCGAACGGGUGAGUAACACGUGAGUAACCUGCCCUUGACUUUGGGAUAACUUCAGGAAACUGGGGCUAAUACCGGAUAGGAGCUCCUGCUGCAUGGUGGGGGUUGGAAAGUUUCGGCGGUUGGGGAUGGACUCGCGGCUUAUCAGCUUGUUGGUGGGGUAGUGGCUUACCAAGGCUUUGACGGGUAGCCGGCCUGAGAGGGUGACCGGCCACAUUGGGACUGAGAUACGGCCCAGACUCCUACGGGAGGCAGCAGUGGGGAAUAUUGCACAAUGGGCGGAAGCCUGAUGCGGCAACGCCGCGUGCGGGAUGACGGCCUUCGGGUUGUAAACCGCUUUCGCCUGUGACGAAGCGUGAGUGACGGUAAUGGGUAAAGAAGCACCGGCUAACUACGUG
rnacentral:rRNA from 1 species